CUCAUUUCUACUCAACGCGCGUCCUGUGAUUAAGGCUGAGGCAGUGGGUGUCUGGGGAGGAAGUCAGAGCUGGCACCCACAGGACAACCACACGUGCGCACGACACCCCGGUGAGGCCGCACAUCCAGACCAGGAUAUGAGACAAUGUUAUAAAGCAGCAACAAUCACAGUCGUGUUACUGGCGCACACCCAGAAAUCUAGGUCAGAGGGAAACAAUAAGGAACUCAAUGGCACCAAAUAAUUCAAUAAAAUCAGGUAAGUUCCCCUCAUGACAGGAAAAGGAAUUUAUUUCAUUUAUUUCUUUCAUAAAUGGUGUUAAUCACAAAACUGUAAAGGGGGAAGUUUAGUCCACAUCUUCUAGCCAUGAAGAGUAAGAGCUGACGUGUAUUGUGCUCUUCCUAUGUGCCAUGUUACCUUCAUUAACUGUAUUGCAUCUGCGUAAUGAUUCUGUGAGGAAACAGAUUAUCCCAAUUCUUCAGGUUUAAAAACAAACAAACCCCACAGAUGCUCAGAGAAGUCAGACACCUUGCCCACAGCUGGAAACAGGCGGAGAUGGACUCAACCCAGGUCUGCCUGGCUCCAAGGAUCAGGCUCCCGACCAGUGGAUGAUGCUGACCCUUCACAUCAAGAAUAAAUUCCAAGUGGAUUAAAGCAUUGGAUAUCUUUGGUCAAAUAACUAGCAUUGUCAUUAUAUGUUUCAGAGAAAGCCUUGGUUAUGAGACCCUGGCUACUUUCUAGCCUAUCCUGUAAUGACAAAAACCCGGGUAUCUUCAGUACCUCAGGAAUGGCUAAGUAACAAGAUCUUCACUUGGCUCUGCCAAAAACAGCACAUAAAAACUCCAGUUGGACAGGAUGUAACCAGUGUAUAUCACAGGGGUUCUCGGCCAGGAUGUCAUUAACUUUCCACAUGUGUCCUGCCAAAUUCUGAUCAACAUACAACAUGUAUUUUUACUGCCAUUGAAUGGACCUACUGCUAGAGUCGUGGUACCAGAUCAGGCCUCAUGAGCAUCCAAGAGGGCACCAUCAGGGAAGUUUGCAGCUCCCAUCAUCUGGAGAUGCAGGACUACAGGGCCCCCAGGGGAUGGGUGCAGUGACUCUGGAUGCUUUCUAGGAUCUGGGAAGCGCUGUCAUUCUGCUGGACAGCCUGCGUGUGGUGACUGCUAACAUGUUUAGUGUUGUCUUGAAUCUGUCAACCUCUACACGUAAUGCCAAAAAUAACACUCAAAAGGGUGCCACCAGUACCAACUAGUGAAAAAAUACAGUAUCUGUCUGUUUUGUUGCCCUUUUGGAAAGUUCAGGGGCCUUGGAUCAGACUAUAAUAAAGUCUGUCAUUAUAUAGCAUUUCAUAUUAAAGGGCCAUAUUCAAAUUGGCGGCUUAAUGCCAAGAAUUACACAUUAUUAGGCAUUUUGGAAAUUCUAGCCAUAUCCUUGAAUACCGUCUGUUAAUAUAGGCCCAGAUAUUUGCUUGCCUUGUGCUGUUCUUUAUAUUGGUAUAUGUUUAUUUUUUUAAGCUAAUUAUUAUUACUAAUAUUCUGCUCUUGAGUCUAAAAUGAUCUUAUCCUCUUAAAUCCUCUUAAAAUGAAUAAUGCUUAUAAACUGUACCCAAAUCUUUUUAAUUUUAGUUAUAAAACCAUACAUCAACAGAUCUAACAAAAUACUGAAUUAGUGGCAAUGGAUACUGAAAAAACUGCCAAACUACACUUCUGUAUCAAACCUGGCCUAUACUUUCCAUAUCCAGCUUUUGACGCUUUUGAAAGAUACGAAGAGCAUUCUGUUACAAGCAAAUAAAGGAGAGCUUCAAUCUUCUUACCAGAAGAACACCCCAAGAAGGAUUCCUUCUAAUCAGCCUAAGACCCAAAAGCUAUUAGCUAAAAAGAAAGGGAAAAGGAAAGAAAUUAAAGACUGUGAACUAA